rnacentral:rRNA from 1 species
GACGAACGCUGGCGACGUGCUUAACACAUGCAAGUCGAACGGAAAGGCCCUGCUUUUGUGGGGUGCUCGAGUGGCGAACGGGUGAGUAACACGUGAGUAACCUGCCCUUGACUUUGGGAUAACUUCAGGAAACUGGGGCUAAUACCGGAUAGGAGCUCCUGCUGCAUGGUGGGGGUUGGAAAGUUUCGGCGGUUGGGGAUGGACUCGCGGCUUAUCAGCUUGUUGGUGGGGUAGUGGCUUACCAAGGCUUUGACGGGUAGCCGGCCUGAGAGGGUGACCGGCCACGUUGGGACUGAGAUACGGCCCAGACUCCUACGGGAGGCAGCAGUGGGGAAUAUUGCACAAUGGGCGGAAGCCUGAUGCAGCAACGCCGCGUGCGGGAUGACGGCCUUCGGGUUGUAAACCGCUUUCGCCUGUGACGAAGCGUGAGUGACGGUAAUGGGUAAAGAAGCACCGGCUAACUACGUG